rnacentral:rRNA from 1 species
ACUCCUACGGGAGGCAGCAGUGAGGAAUAUUGGUCAAUGGAGGGAACUCUGAACCAGCCAUCCCGCGUGUAGGAAGACGGCCUUAUGGGUUGUAAACUACUUUUAUACAGGAAGAAACGUACCCUCGUGAGGGUGCCUGACGGUAUCUUGNAUGGAAAAGCACCGGCUAACUCCGUGCCAGCAGCCGCGGUAAUACGGAGGGUGCGAGCGUUAUCCGGAUUUAUUGGGUUUAAAGGUCCGUAGGCGGGUUAAUAAGUCAGUGGUGAAAUCCCAUCGCUUAACGAUGGAACUGCCAUUGAUACUGUUAGUCUUGAAUGAGGGUGCAGUGGUUGGAAUGUGUAGUGUAGCGGGUGAAAUGCAUAGAUAUUACACAGAACACCGAUUGCGAAGGCAGAUCACUAACCCUAAAUUGACGCUGAGGGACGAAAGCGUGGGGAGCGAACAGGAUUAGAUACCCUGUAGACUGUC